GAUGAACGCUGGCGGCGUGCCUAAUACAUGCAAGUCGAGCGAACGGACGAGAAGCUUGCUUCUCUGAUGUUAGCGGCGGACGGGUGAGUAACGCGUGGAUAACCUACCUAUAAGACUGGGAUAACUUCGGGAAACCGGAGCUAAUACCGGAUAAUAUUUUGAACCGCAUGGUUCAAAAGUGAAAGACGGUCUUGCUGUCACUUAUAGAUGGAUCCGCGCUGCAUUAGCUAGUUGGUAAGGUAACGGCUUACCAAGGCAACGAUGCAUAGCCGACCUGAGAGGGUGAUCGGCCACACUGGAACUGAGACACGGUCCAGACUCCUACGGGAGGCAGCAGUAGGGAAUCUUCCGCAAAGGGCGAAAGCCUGACGGAGCAACGCCGCGUGAGUGAUGAAGGUCUUCGGAUCGUAAAACUCUGUUAUUAGGGAAGAACAUAUGUGUAAGUAACUGUGCACAUCUUGACGGUACCUAAUCAGAAAGCCACGGCUAACUACGUG
rnacentral:rRNA from 1 species